GCAAUUGUUACACCACGGAAUGUCUGCAAGAUGAAAAAUAAGGAUUUUCUGCACAUUCCAGGCUAUCCAAAUUGCUCAGAUUCCAGAACUUUGCUUCGUGUUUCAGCAAGGAUGUACAUGGUGAUUGGAUUCAUAGUGCUUUUUCCAAGGCAUCUGAAACCAUAAUUUCAGUGCUUUCCACCUCCAGAAAUGUGUGUGUGCGCCAGACUUCCAGGCCCUCUACCUUCAAGGAUGAAGACAUCGGCGUGUCCUAGACAUUAAAACCACCACCUUCAGAAAUCUCCCAUUCUGCGUCUUUCAGAGUCUCCAGAUUUCUUAUUUUCUAAGCUCAAGAGAGUUUCAGCUUCUUCCAACCCCUGCAUCAACAGCAAAAACGGUACUUUACAAACCUAGAAAAGAAGCAGUGUGUGCCUUGCCACAGUGAUUGUGCAUCAUGUAAUGGACCCGAUGAAGAUGACUGCUCCUCCUGCAGAUUACCUAAACAUGUUAGUUACAAUGGAAAGUGCCUUUUGAGCUGCCCAUCAGACACUUACCUG
ensembl:processed_transcript